CUCUUUCUUGAUUCGGUGGGUGGUGGUGCAUGGCCGUUCUUAGUUGGUGGAGCGAUUUGUCUGGUUAAUUCCGAUAACGAACGAGACUCUAGCCUGCUAAAUAGGUGACGGGUUUUAUCAAUUGAAACCGAAGGGGGUACGGAGGCGUCGGGAUCAGGUGGCGGCGGUUUCGGGUGGAGCGAAGGGGGCCGUUUUAGUGUGGCCGCGGUCGCGACGGUUCGUUUUUUCGGGGUGUUCUCGGCUUGUCGUGCGUUUCGGCGUGCGGCGGGUCGGGGGUGCUCUGGGAGGGCGGGUCGGAGUGGCUCGGUCCGCGGCGGUUCUCUUUCUUCUCUCGGUCGUCGUCAUCCCCGGCGAUUUCUCCUGCUCUCGCGUCCGUCACGUGUCUUCUUAGAGGGACAAGCGGCGUCCAGCCGCGUGACAGUGAGCAAUAACAGGUCUGUGAUGCCCUUAGAUGUCCUGGGCCGCACGCGCGCUACACUGAAGGAAUCAGCGUGUUUCACUCUCCCUGUCCGAAAGGACCGGGUA
rnacentral:rRNA from 1 species